CGGGGCGUAGCGCAGCCCGGUAGCGCGCUUGCUUUGGGAGCAAGAUGUCGUAGGUUCGAAUCCUAUCGCCCCGACCA
rnacentral:tRNA from 1 species